AUCAAUCUCAUGAUAGUGAUUAGGGGUUACCAGCUGUUUGGAUAGUAAUCGAAGAGUAAUGAAACUCUACGAUAGAAAUUAUGCGAUAAUUACAAGAGAUCCAAGAGCAAUUAUGCGCUAGGGUGAAUGUUCAUGAAAAUAGGAAUCAAGAACCUAUUCAAGUCGGUGGAGCUAACCUCGAUAAAGCUGAAUUUGAUCGUGAUCUUGUCAAUCCAAGGAGAAGAGCCAUGAUGAAUGAUGAUAUAAGAAAUGAUGAGGAGAUGACUUGGGAUAUGGUGCAUGUCAAGGACAAAGGAGAGCUGGCCGAAAUUUCUAACAAAACUACAUGAGAGAUGAUGAGUUUAAAUUGAAGAUGGAUAUAUCCCUACCUUUUGUGGAGAUCUUGAUAUUGAAGGUUUUCUUAAUUGGUUAACUAAGGUAGAUCGUUUCUUCGAGUAUGUUGAAAUUCCAGAAGAACGAAAGGUAAAAUUAAUGGCUUAUAGAUUAAAGGGAGGAGCUUCCGUGUAGUGGGAUUGAUUUAAAGAGACAAAGAGGUGAGAAGGGCACAAUCAAGUCACCACAUGGAGGAGGAUAUUAUAAUUAUUAAGGGGUAAAUUUUUUUAUUUAAAACUUACCAAAAUUACUUGUUGGGAAAUAGGAGUGUUAAUGAAUAUAGCGCUGAAUUCUUGAGGUUGGUAGCAAGAAAUCACUUGUCC
rnacentral:misc_RNA from 1 species